GCUCAUGGGAGAGUGAAGAGAAGCAAAGGAAGGAAAAGCUUAACCUCAAUUUAGGGAGUUCACUACAAUCCAAAUUUUCAGGUAGCAUACGAAUCAUAGAUGGUGUGUUCGGAUCGCUGUUGCUUUGCUAUUUAUUUGGAGUCGCUCUGUUAGGAUGUUGUUGGGAGAAACUUUUAUUUAAUUAUGUUGUUAAAUUUUUAUAACAAUUGAACUAUGUCACUUGAUUCAGUAUUUUCAAUUCGGACUUUGAAACUUA